UACGUAGGUGGCAAGCGUUGUCCGGAUUUACUGGGCGUAAAGGGCGUGCAGGCGGUCUGUUAAGUCUAGGGUGAAAGCUCCCGGCUCAACUGGGAGAGGUCCUUGGAUACUGGCGGACUUGAGGGAUGCAGAGGAAAGUGGAAUUCCCGGUGUAGUGGUGAUAUGCGUAGAUAUCGGGAGGAACACCAGUGGCGAAGGCGGCUUUCUGGACAGUUCCUGACGCUGAGGCACGAAGGCCAGGGGAGCAAACGGG
rnacentral:rRNA from 1 species